UGGUCUGGCAUGGCAGGUGUGAUGGACUC
rnacentral:piRNA from 1 species